GACGAACGCUGGCGGCGUGCUUAACACAUGCAAGUCGAACGGAAAGGCCCUGCUUUUGUGGGGUGCUCGAUUGGCGAACGGGUGCGUAACACGUGAAUAACCUGCCCUUGACUUUGGGAUAACUUCAGGAAACUGGGGCUAAUACCGGAUAGGAGCUCCUGCUGCAUGGUGGGGGUUGGAAAGUUGCGGCGGUUGGGGAUGGACUCGCGGCUUAUCAGCUUGUUGGUGGGGUAGGGGCUUACCAAGCCUUUGACCGGUAGCCGGCCUGAGAGGGUGGACGGCGACCUUGGGACUGAGGUACGGACCAGACUCCUACGUGAGGCAGUAGUGGGGAACAUUGCACAACGGGCGGAAGCCUGAUGCAGAAACGCUGGGUUCGUGAUGACGUCUUUUUGGUUAUGAACCGCAGUAGGUUGAGACCACGCGUUACUGACGGUACUCGGUAAAGAAGCACCGGCUAACUACGUG
rnacentral:rRNA from 1 species